GGCGAAAGCCUGACGGAGCAAUACCGCGUGAGGGAGGAAGGCUCUUGGGUCGUAAACCUCUUUUCUCAGGGAAGAACACAAUGACGGUACCUGAGGAAUAAGCAUCGGCUAACUCCGUGCCAGCAGCCGCGGUAAUACGGAGGAUGCAAGCGUUAUCCGGAAUGAUUGGGCGUAAAGCGUCCGCAGGUGGCUGUGUAAGUCUGCUGUUAAAGAGUCUAGCUCAACUAGAUAAGAGCAGUGGAAACUACACGGCUAGAGUACGUUCGGGGCAGAGGGAAUUCCUGGUGUAGCGGUGAAAUGCGUAGAGAUCAGGAAGAACACCGGUGGCGAAGGCGCCCUGCUAGGCCGUAACUGACACUGAGGGACGAAAGCUAGGGGGGCGAAUGGGAUUAGAUACCCCAGUAGUCCUAGCCGUAAACGAUGGAUACUAGGCGUGGCUUGUAUCGACCCGAGCCGUGCCGUAGCUAACGCGUUAAGUAUCCCGCCUGGGGAGUACGCCGGCAACGGUGAAACUCAAAGGAAUUGACGGGGGCCCGCACAAGCGGUGGAGUGUGUGGUUUAAUUCGAUGCAACGCGAAGAACCUUACCAAGGCUUGACAUGUCGCGAAUCUUCUCGAAAGGGAAGAGUGCCUUCGGGAGCGCGAACACAGGUGGUGCAUGGCUGUCGUCAGCUCGUGUCGUGAGAUGUUGGGUUAAGUCCCGCAACGAGCGCAACCCUCGUUUUUAGUUGCCAGCAUUAAGUUGGGCACUCUAGAGAGACUGCCGGUGACAAACCGGAGGAAGGUGGGGAUGACGUCAAGUCAGCAUGCCCCUUACGCCUUGGGCUACACACGUACUACAAUGCUCCGGACAGAGGGCAGCAAGCAUGCGAAUGCAAGCAAAUCCCGUAAACCGGAGCUCAGUUCAGAUCGCAGGCUGCAACUCGCCUGCGUGAAGGAGGAAUCGCUAGUAAUUGCAGGUCAGCAUACUGCAGUGAAUUCGUUCCCGGGCCUUGUACACACCGCCCGUCACACCAUGGAAGCUGGUAGUGCCCGAAGUCAUUACUCCAACCUUUCGGGGAGGAGGAUGCCUAAGGCAGGACUGGUGACUGGGGUGAAGUCGUAACAAGGUAGCCGUACCGGAAGGUGUGGCUGGAUCACCUCCUUU
rnacentral:rRNA from 1 species